rnacentral:rRNA from 1 species
CAGCAGUGGGGAAUAUUGGACAAUGGGCGAAAGCCUGAUCCAGCAAUGCCGCGUGUGUGAAGAAGGCCUGCGGGUUGUAAAGCACUUUCAGUGGGGAAGACAAGCCGAGGGUUAAUACCCCUAGGUCUUGACGUUACCCACAGAAGAAGCACCGGCUAACUCCGUGCCAGCAGCCGCGGUAAUACGGAGGGUGCAAGCGUUAAUCGGAAUUACUGGGCGUAAAGCGCACGUAGGCAGUGAGGUCAGUCAGAUGUGAAAGCCCCGGGCUCAACCUGGGAAUUGCAUUUGAUACUGCCUGGCUUGAGUAUGGUAGAGGGGGGUGCAAUUCCAGGUGUAGCGGUGAAAUGCGUACAUAUCUGGAGGAACACCAGUGGCGAAGGCGGCCCCCUGGAACACUACUGACGCUGAGGUGCCAAAGCGUUGGGAGCAACCAGGAUUAGAUACCCUGGUAGUCCACGCCGUUAACGAUGUCGACUAGCCGGUGGAUCCAUUUAAGGGUUUAGUGGCGCAGCUAACGCGAUAAGUCGACCGCCUGGGGAGUACGNCCGCAAGGUUAAAACUCUAAGGUAUUGACGGGGGCCCGCACAAGCGGUGGAGCAUGUGGUUUAAUUCGAUGCAACGCGAAGAACCUUACCAGCCCUUGACAUCCUUGGAACUGUCAGAGAUGACAGGUGCCUUCGGGAGCCAAGUGACAGGUGCUGCACGGCUGUCGUCAGCUCGUGUCGUGAGAUGUUGGGUUAAGUCCCGUAACGAGCGCAACCCUUGUCCUUAGUUGCCAGCGGUUCGGCCGGGAACUCUAAGGAGACUGCCGGUGAUAAACCGGAGGAAGGUGGGGAUGACGUCAAGUCAUCAUGGCCCUUAUGGGCUGGGCUACACACGUGCUACAAUGGUCGGUACAGAGGGUCGCGAAGCCGCGAGGUGGAGCCAAUCCCAGAAAGCCGAUCGUAGUCCGGAUUGCAGUCUGCAACUCGACUGCAUGAAGUCGGAAUCGCUAGUAUUCGCGAAUCAGCAUGUCGCGGU